GAGUGAGUGGCGAACUGGUGAGUAACACGUGGGAAACCUGCCCAGAAGCGGGGGAUAACACCUGGAAACAGAUGCUAAUACCGCAUAACAACUUGGACCGCAUGGUCCGAGUUUGAAAGAUGGCUUCGGCUAUCACUUCUGGAUGGUCCCGCGGCGUAUUAGCUAGAUGGUGAGGUAACGGCUCACCAUGGCAAUGAUACGUAGCCGACCUGAGAGGGUAAUCGGCCACAUUGGGACUGAGACACGGCCCAAACUCCUACGGGAGGCAGCAGUAGGGAAUCUUCCACAAUGGACGAAAGUCUGAUGGAGCAACGCCGCGUGAGUGAAGAAGGGUUUCGGCUCGUAAAACUCUGUUGUUAAAGAAGAACAUAUCUGAGAGUAACUGUUCAGGUAUUGACGGUAUUUAACCAGAAAGCCACGGCUAACUACGUGCCAGCAGCCGCGGUAAUACGUAGGUGGCAAGCGUUGUCCGGAUUUAUUGGGCGUAAAGCGAGCGCAGGCGGUUUUUUAAGUCUGAUGUGAAAGCCUUCGGCUCAACCGAAGAAGUGCAUCGGAAACUGGGAAACUUGAGUGCAGAAGAGGACAGUGGAACUCCAUGUGUAGCGGUGAAAUGCGUAGAUAUAUGGAAGAACACCAGUGGCGAAGGCGGCUGUCUGGUCUGUAACUGACGCUGAGGCUCGAAAGUAUGGGUAGCAAACAGGAUUAGAUACCCUGGUAGUCCAUACC
rnacentral:rRNA from 2 species